rnacentral:rRNA from 1 species
GACAGAGGGUGCAAACGUUGUUCGGAUUUACUGGGCGUAAAGCGUGUGUAGGCGGCUUCGCAAGUUGGAUGUGAAAUCCCACGGCUCAACCGUGGACGUGCAUCCAAAACUGCGUCGCUAGAGUCUCGGAGAGGAAGGUGGAAUGCUUGGUGUAGAGGUGAAAUUCGUAGAUAUCCGGAGGAACACCAGCGGCGAAGGCGGCUUUCUGGUCCGAUACUGACGCUGAGACGCGAAAGCGUGGGGAGCGAUCCGG